UAGCCGGACUGAGAGGUUGAACGGCCACAUUGGGACUGAGACACGGCCCAGACUCCUACGGGAGGCAGCAGUGGGGAAUAUUGCACAAUGGGGGAAACCCUGAUGCAGCGACGCCGCGUGGAGGAAGAAGGUCUUCGGAUUGUAAACUCCUGUUGUUGAGGAAGAUAAUGACGGUACUCAACAAGGAAGUGACGGCUAACUACGUGCCAGCAGCCGCGGUAAAACGUAGGUCACAAGCGUUGUCCGGAAUUACUGGGUGUAAAGGGAGCGCAGGCGGGAGAACAAGUUGGAAGUGAAAUCCAUGGGCUCAACCCAUGAACUGCUUUCAAAACUGUUUUUCUUGAGUAGUGCAGAGGUAGGCGGAAUUCCCGGUGUAGCGGUGGAAUGCGUAGAUAUCGGGAGGAACACCAGUGGCGAAGGCGGCCUACUGGGCACCAACUGACGCUGAGGCUCGAAAGUGUGGGUAGCAAACAGGAUUAGAUACCCUGGUAGUCCACACCGUAAACGAUGAUUACUAGGUGUUGGAGGAUUGACCCCUUCAGUGCCGCAGUUAACACAAUAAGUAAUCCACCUGGGGAGUACGACCGCAAGGUUGAAACUCAAAGGAAUUGACGGGGGCCCGCACAAGCAGUGGAGUAUGUGGUUUAAUUCGACGCAACGCGAAGAACCUUACCAAGUCUUGACAUCCCUUGACGAUGCUGGAAACAGUAUUUCUCUUCGGAGCAAGGAGACAGGUGGUGCAUGGUUGUCGUCAGCUCGUGUCGUGAGAUGUUGGGUUAAGUCCCGCAACGAGCGCAACCCUUAU
rnacentral:rRNA from 1 species